AAUGUGAUCGAAAAUUUGUUGAAGAUCAACUUGCUAAUUACUCCAAAAUAAAAUAAAAAACUUUGAAUGGGUAAACUCCCCGGAGUGCUGGUGGAAAUUUCAGUCCAAAGAGGGACCCAUCAGCAAAAAAAUUCCACUCGCUUUUAGCACCUUAUAAUAUUUAUAAACAUCAAACAACCAUUAAACAAACACAUAAAAAAUUCAAAAAACACCAUUCUCUUCUUCUUUUUCUUAUUCAAUAAUGGCUUCAUAAAAUCCGAUCUUCUUCUUUCUCUUCAAUCAUCAAAGCCAAGCUUGAUCUCCACCCUUCAGAUCUCAACGCCUUUAGAACUCUCCAAAGAGACCUUGGUCUCAAUGCACUUUUAGUCAAUGCGGUCAAGGCUUCCAUCGAUGGUGUGUUCUGCGACACCGCCACAGCCACCUACGUCCUCCAAGAAUCUCAAUGGAACCCUCUCUUCCGCCAUUGGACACCUCACUGAGCUUAAAGAACUCUCUUUAUCUGAUAACCACCUCCUUGACCGCAUCCCAAACUCCAUAGUCAACCUCAAAAAGCUCGAAAUCCUCGACCUCCGUGGCAACGGCUUCUCCGGCGAAGUCCCGCCUCACCUUUCUUCGCUUGCAAGGCUCCGACUCCUCGAUGUCUCCUCCAACAAACUCUCCGGCAACCUCAACUUCCUCAAGUAUUUUCCGAACUUGGAAAAGAUAAACCUCGCCGACAACCUCUUUGUUGGUCGUAUCCCUGUUUCUAUUCGCUCGUUUCGGAAUCUUAGACACUUCAACUUCUCCGGCAAUAGUUUCCUCAAAGGCUCGACGCCGAUUGCCAAGAGUUACAAUGUCCCAAGACGCUUCAUCUUUGCUGAGGACGACGGUGAGAAUAACGGCGGCGGCAUAAGCACUCUUGCACCAUCUCCGAGAUCAAACAAAAGGAGGAGGAGGAGCUAUUUUCCUAGUUUUUGAUAUUGUUAGUUGAGAGAUGUAACUGUAACUGACUUUGUUUGAUCGGUGUGAUGUAGGGCGAACCUGAGGAGGGCGAAGCUGGAUCCAUCGGCGGAGCACGGUGUCAGGAAGUUCUCCGAUCUGACGCCGGAAGAGUUCAAGAGGCAUCACCUUGGGUUGAAGCUGUUAGUCCAGUCAAGAACCAGGUGAGGUUUUGGCUAAACUUGCAAGUUUGGGGGGUCAAGCUAAUCAUCUCUGCAAGGAAUGAAGCUGAAUUGGAGUGAGUAAAGACAAAGCUGAAAGGUACGAUGGAUUCAUCUUACUUUUAUGUGCAAAUAUUGAUAUAGGCUAAUGGCUUGAGUUAUUAUUAAUUAUUAAGUUAUUUGAAUAUCACUAGGGAACCAUGCACCUGAAGAAAUCAAGAGAUUGCCUCAUC